GCCUAGAAGUGGAACCUUCAGUCAGGUUGGUCCCUUUCUAUUUAUGGGAUGGGGCCUCAAAUGGUCAGAUGGGGUGCUGUAUGCCCUUGCUGCUAUCUGUUCAGAUCAUGUACCCCUUUCAUCUGAGUGAGACACACCUCUUGUGCUGGUCCUUUUAACUGCUCUGCUCCUGUAAGCUGAUCCUCUACUCCAAAAAAUGUUAGCCUCCCAAACCCUGAAAGAGCUCUGGCAGUUAAUCAACCUCAUCUUCUAUGUGGACAUCCCCGGGAAGCAUACUGCCAAGGUCUUGAAGGAACUUCUAGUCCUUUCCAUAUUCACAGGAUUUUUCAUUCAGCAC
rnacentral:lncRNA from 1 species